rnacentral:tRNA from 1 species
AGAGCUUUAGCUUAAAUUAAAGUAUUUGAGUUGCAUUCAAAAGAUGUAGGUUAAUAUCCUGCAAGCUCUA